rnacentral:rRNA from 1 species
AUGGCUCUUUUGACGGUGAAGGUGACUUGGUUACGGCAGUUACUUGAGGAUUUUGGUGUUUCUGUCACUACACCUACCCUGCUAUUGUCUAGCAAUACAGGUGCUGUUAGCAUUGCGCGUGAUCCUGUGAAGCAUGAGCUCACCAAGCAUAUUGGUGUUGAUGCUUUCUAUGUGCACGCUGGUGUGCAGGAUCAGGUUAUUGCUCUUCAGUAUGUGCCUUCCGAGUUACAGUUGGCGGAUUUCUUUACGAAGGCCCAGACUAGAGCGCAGCAUGGCUUCUAUUUCUUCAAACUUAGUGUUGUUUAUCCACCAUGA